rnacentral:lncRNA from 1 species
UUACUUGUGCCGACUAAUACACUUGCUAAUUUACGCAACAAUAUUUUACAAUAACACUUGGUUGUCUUCGAUCUUCAUAUUGUCGUCUUCGUUGAAGUUCUUUUUCAAGCAAUUGGAAUUUAAGAGACAAGCAUUCCAUUUCAUGCUUGAAGACAUUAUGAUAGAAAACCAGGAUGCUUCCUUGCCAAUGAAGAGGCAAGCAACUGAAGGAAAACAAAAAAAAAGGCCACAACAGUUUCAACAACCAACAAACAGUUAAACUAAAAACAUAUAUAGAGUGGCAGCAGAUACUACAAGCAAUGUAAAGCUAUAAUAUUGAAAGCAAGGAACUAAAUUAUUGAUGGAGAUGACAAGCUCAGUGAUGGAACAGUAUGAAGAUAGAUAUUUUGUUCAAGAAACAAACUCCAGCAGCAUUCUUAUAGAAUAUAUGAAACCAUUAAAUUCUAUUUUGCUUGUUUCACUUUACAAGUCCUCAGGUACAAUUGAAGUUGAAGUUACUUAAAUAUAAUCAAACUAACGUAUCAACAAACCGUAUUACAAUUGAAUCAUCCACUGAACCCUUAAAUAUAAUCAAACUAACUUGUGCAUGUAAUUAAAGCAAUCCCAGUUUCUACAUUCUGGAAAUUACAACAAUAAAUUAAAGCGGCUAAUAGUGAAUCGGCAGGUUAUCAGGUACAUAUGCUUUAGGAUUUUUAAAACUCACUACUUUUAAAACUAAAAUUUAGUACUUAUAAGAAUACUCCGUUCUCCGUCACUUUACAUUACUAAAUUAUGAUCCAUUUGGGAUAGCUAUUAGCCGUUACUACAAGGGAAAAGCAAUCCCAAUUCGGUUUUCUAGGAUUUUCAAUUCCACUAUCCCAAUUUAACCAUUCCGGAAAUUAAAGCAAUAAAUUGAACCGGCUGAACUUGAAAAGCUGAUUGUGUUGGGUGGAGAGAGAGCAACGCACUGAAAUCACUUUGUUGAGAGACCAACGCCCGCGGAUCUGGGCGAGAGAGAGGCCACGAGAGACACCAAAUUCAGCUGAGAGAGGGAGGGAGAGUGAGGGAGCAGAGACAGAACGGAGAAAGGAGCUGCGUGGUGAGUGACGGAUAACGGAGAAUGGAGCGACGAGCUUGGAAAUGCCUGAGCAGAUUGACGGGAGAAAGAGGAGCUGCAUUAUUUUGCUGGAUUUGGUGUGGGGGAUAAGGGAGUUCGCAUGUGUGUGUUGUUUGGUGCACGUACGAAGAGGCUUUUAAAGCUUUUAAAGCUUGCACAAAACGCACCGUUUUGUGCAAGCUUUUGUGCACACUUGUGUGUGAGUACCAUUUUUCAUGUCCUAAUUAGACGAUGAACCGACGAACUUUGUAACUUUAAUAUUUAGUUUCCUCUAACAUUUUAACUUUUUUUUUAUGCUUUUUCAAUAAAUAUAUUUUGAUAGAAUAAGGAUGUUAUGCUUUUUAAGCUAUAAAAAAAAAGGUAAGGAGCAUACUAUGGACUCAUAUAUUUAAUAAAUAGAUCAAAGCCAUUAUUGUCUUUUUCAUACAUUUUUGUGCGAAGAUUUAAUAAUAAUCUUUGUGUGGAAGUUCAUAUACUUUAUGCCUAAAAAGAUGAUAACUCCGAACAUAUGAUUGAACACGAUUUUCAUGUAAAAAGGGU